rnacentral:rRNA from 1 species
AUGAUUGCUCUUAUCGGUAUGGCUCCUACCGAGGAGGAGGGAGAAGAGAAGAAGAAGAGGGAAAGGAAGGCAGCUGGAGCUGCUUUCACGUGGAUUCAAAAUAACUUUGCGAUGUGCCCUCCGGAUGCAACUGAUGAUGUGAUCCAGACACAUGCUCGUGUGUAUAUGUGGUACAUUGUGUCGAGGACUUUGUUUCCUGACUCCACUGGCAAGAACGCUCCAUGGAUGUGGCUGAAGGCGUUGACCGUCUUCGAUAGCAAAUGGAGCUGGGGUUCAGCGACUCUUGCCUACUUGUACCGACAGGUAGUUGGUCUGUUUUGUGAUCAACUCAUUUAUUCAUUAGCAAUGCAAGCUUGCUGUCAAGUUAACAUUGUUUUUCUUUCAUAUGUAGCUGGAUGA